rnacentral:pre_miRNA from 1 species
UUGCAGUGCAUUUGUACGGAAUGGGAUCGUUUGCGUACGUUUGCCGCUAGGGGCGCUGUUCCAACUGCAUACAAAUAUGAGCUA